GAGUUUGAUCCUGGCUCAGGAUGAACGCUAGCUACAGGCUUAACACAUGCAAGUCGAGGGGCAGCAUGGUCUUAGCUUGCUAAGGCCGAUGGCGACCGGCGCACGGGUGAGUAACACGUAUCCAACCUGCCGUCUACUCUUGGACAGCCUUCUGAAAGGAAGAUUAAUACAAGAUGGCAUCAUGAGUCCGCAUGUUCACAUGAUUAAAGGUAUUCCGGUAGACGAUGGGGAUGCGUUCCAUUAGAUAGUAGGCGGGGUAACGGCCCACCUAGUCUUCGAUGGAUAGGGGUUCUGAGAGGAAGGUCCCCCACAUUGGAACUGAGACACGGUCCAAACUCCUACGGGAGGCAGCAGUGAGGAAUAUUGGUCAAUGGGCGAGAGCCUGAACCAGCCAAGUAGCGUGAAGGAUGACUGCCCUAUGGGUUGUAAACUUCUUUUAUAAAGGAAUAAAGUCGGGUAUGGAUACCCGUUUGCAUGUACUUUAUGAAUAAGGAUCGGCUAACUCCGUGCCAGCAGCCGCGGUAAUACGGAGGAUCCGAGCGUUAUCCGGAUU
rnacentral:rRNA from 1 species